UUCAGCUUUCCCUCUCCUCUUCUCUCAUGGUAGUAACUUGAUCUUCUAUGGUCACCUUUCUCUUCUUCGAUCUUACCUCCCUCUAUUUUUUUAGGCUUUAUUUGGUUGGGAGGAAUUGGAAGAAAAAGAAAAGAAAGGAAAGGUAAAUUAAAGUUUCCUGUAUUUGGUACAAAUAAUUAUAUGGAAAGUGGAAGGAAAGGACGGGAAUUGGAAGGAAAGCUCCUUUAUAGAAUUUUCACUUUCAUUUCCUCCCAAAAUUGGAGGAAUUUAGAAGGAAAGAGAAAAUUAAAAGCUGUCAGUUAUAUUUCAUUUCUCUUCCCUUCAUUUCUUUCCCUUAAACCAAACGCAGGAAAAUAAAAUCUAUUUUCCUUCCCUUCUUUUCCUUUCUUUUCCCUUCCUUUCUUUUCUCUUCCUUUCCUUUACUAAUAAUGAACCAAAUAGGGCCUUAACUAAAAUGCCUCCUUUUUUCUCUCAUUUUCUUGGAUACCUCCAUCGUUGAUGAGAGUGUCCUCCUUCUCUCCUCUCUCUUUCAUGGCGUUUCCUCUAGCUUUUUUGUUAGGCUAAUUUGACCGUCUUCACACUCUCCCCGCAUUUCUACUCAUCAAUUAAAGAGAAAGUUGAAAGGUAGCAAAUGAGACGACUAGAGCAUCGGUUUUGGCAUUGGAUUAUGAGAUUGGCUAAAAAAAGGUCCCAACACCUACAGAGGAACAUUUUAAGAGAGUAAGAUCCUUAAAGAACCAGUUUGUGUUGAACAAUAAUUAAUUGGAACAAAAGGCAAGUCCACUGCAAGUUUAUGGGUAAUGGUGGUGGUGAUAUGGAUCCAAAAGAUAUAGAGUGGAGCAUUGUACAACAUCUGGAUUGAUGGUAAAGUGGAGCUAAUACUUGAUCCGGUAGAGAGGUCAGUUGGUUUACCUUUAAUCCCAAGCUUCAUAUUGAAAGGGAACAGUUGAUUAAAAGGGAACAAUUAUGUUAUCUGACACGUACGACAAAAAUUACACACCAAUUAAUGAAAACUUGCAUGAAGCUCCAACGUAUGGCGGGUGAGUUGAAGCUAGAGAACCUAGACAUUGCCCGUCUAUUGAAGAUAAGAAAGAUAAUGGAAAUGGAGAUAAAUCAAGAAAGAGGUCAAUGGAUCUUUGACCAACUUACAACACCACGUAUGGACAAAUGGUAUGGCAUCUGGGGUACGUGGAUACAAAUUCUGCCAUUGACGUUCAAGUGCACCAUUAUCGGAGAAUAUUGUGGAAGUUAUUCAGAUGUAUUGAUUUAUAGAUGUUAUUGUCGUCUCUUGAGUUGAUACUAAUCAAUUUAUCUAGAUUAGAUGUACAACUUACAAGUCCAAGUUAGACAUCUUUACGCUCUAGCUUCGCAACAAUAACAAUAAUGGUUACCAAACUCUUUGUAAAGGAUUGACCUUCUCUUGUAAAUCCGAUUAUUGUAAUUACAGCUUAAUGAUAUGAUAUGAUAUGAUAUGAAAUAUAAUAUUUUGUAAUAA